rnacentral:rRNA from 1 species
AACGAACGCUGGCGGCGUGCCUAACACAUGCAAGUCGAACGAGAAAGUGACUUCGGUCACUGGACAGUGGCGUCCGGGUGAGUAACACGUGGGUAAUCUACCUUCGGGUGGGGAAUAACGUCUCGAAAGAGACGCUAAUACCGCAUAAUGCAGCGGCACCUUAUGGUGAAUAGUUGUUAAAGCGGGGGAUCGCAAGACCUCGCGCCUGAAGAGGAGCCUGCGGCAGAUUAGCUUGUUGGUGAGGUAAUGGCUCACCAAGGCUGCGAUCUGUAGCUGGUCUGAGAGGAUGAUCAGCCACACUGGGACUGAGAUACGGCCCAGACUCCUACGGGAGGCAGCAGUGGGGAAUAUUGGACAAUGGGGCAACCCUGACCCAGCAAUGCCGCGUGAGUGAUGAAGGCC